rnacentral:rRNA from 1 species
UACGUAGGGUGCGAGCGUUAAUCGGAAUUACUGGGCGUAAAGCGUGCGCAGGCGGUGAUGUAAGACAGAUGUGAAAUCCCCGGGCUCAACCUGGGAACUGCAUUUGUGACUGCAUAGCUAGAGUACGGUAGAGGGGGAUGGAAAUUCCGCGUGUAGCAGUGAAAUGCGUAGAUAUGCGGAGGAACACCGAUGGCGAAGGCAGCCCCCUGGGAUAACACUGACGCUCGAUGCACGAAAGCGUGGGGAGCAAACAGG